CACGAGUCAAGAGCUAGCGUCACUCUCCAGAUGAGUCUUUGGCAGGACGAAACUAGUG
rnacentral:sRNA from 1 species